CUGCGCGAGGUGGGGGAUCCUUUUUGAAAACGAAUGGUAAAACCGCAUAGUGUCUACGGACCAAAGGGGGCUUCGGCACUCGCCCUUAGAUUGGCCCUCGAUGGGAUUAGCUAGUUGGGGAGGCAAUGGCUCACCAAGGCGACGAUCCCUAGCUGCGUUGAGAGGAUGAUCAGCCCGCUGGCCCUGAGACACGGUUGCUACUCCUACGGAAGGCCUCACCGGGGAAUAUUGCACAAUGGGCGCAAGCCUGAUGCCUGCAUGCCGCGUGUGUGAAGAAGGCCAUCGGGUUGUAAAGCACUUUCAGUCAGGAGGAAAGGUUAGUAGUUAAUACCUGCUAGCUGUGACGUUACUGACAGAAGAAGCACCGGCUAACUCCGUGCCAGCAGCCGCGGUAAUACGGAGGGUGCGAGCGUUAAUCGGAAUUACUGGGCGUAAAGCGUACGCAGGCGGUUUGUUAAGCGAGAUGUGAAAGCCCCGGGCUCAACCUGGGAACUGCAUUUUCGAACUGGCAAACUAGAGUGUGAUAGAGGGGUGGUAGAAUUUUCAGGUGUAGCGGGUGAAAUGCGUAGAGAUCUGAAGG
rnacentral:rRNA from 1 species